GACGAACGCUGGCGGCGUGCCUAAUACAUGCAAGUAGGACGCAGUUGCGAACGGGUGAGUAACGCGUAGGUAACUACCUAUUAGAGGGGGAUAACUACUGGAAACGCUUGCUAAUACCGCAUACUAUUAGAUGGACCUUCGUUGUAUUACCUAGUAGGUAGGGUAAAGGCCUACCCAGGCAACGAUACAUAGCCGACCUGGGAGGGUGGUUGGCCAAACUGGGACUGGGAAACGGCUCAGACCCCUACGGGAGGCAGCAGUAGGGAAUCUUCGGCAAUGGGGGGAAACCUGACCGAGCAACGCCGCGUGAGUGAAGAAGGUUUUCGGAUCGUAAAGCUCUGUUGUGAAGGAAGCGGUACUUAAACAGAAAGGGACGGCUAACUACGUGCCAGCAGCCGCGGUAAUAC
rnacentral:rRNA from 1 species